AGACGUAGGUGGCGAGCGUUGUCCGGAAUUACUGGGCGUAAAGGAUGCGUAGGUGGAUACUUAAGUGGGAUGUGAAAUCCCCGGGCUCAACCCGGGAACUGCAUUCCAAACUGGGUAUCUAGAGUGCAGGAGCGGAAAGCGGAAUUCCUAGUGUAGCGGUGAAAUGCGUAGAUAUUAGGAGGAACACCAGUGGCGAAGGCGGCUUUCUGGACUGUAACUGACACUGAGGCAUGAAAGCGUGGGUAGCAAACAGGAUUAGAUACCCUGGUAGUCCACGCCGUAAACGAUGAGUACUAAGUGUUGGGGGAACCCAGUGCUGUAGUUAACAUAUUAAGUACUCCGCCUGGGGAGUACGUACGCAAGUAUGAAACUCAAAGGAAUUGGCGGGG
rnacentral:rRNA from 1 species